CAGCAGCAGCCGCGGUAAUACAGAGGGUGCGAGCGUUAAUCGGAUUUACUGGGCGUAAAGCGUGCGUAGGCGGCUUCUUAAGUCGGAUGUGAAAUCCCUGAGCUUAACUUAGGAAUUGCAUUCGAUACUGGGAAGCUAGAGUAUGGGAGAGGAUGGUAGAAUUCCAGGUGUAGCGGUGAAAUGCGUAGAGAUCUGGAGGAAUACCGAUGGCGAAGGCAGCCAUCUGGCCUAAUACUGACGCUGAGGUACGAAAGCAUGGGGAGCAAACAGGAUUAGAUACCCGAGUAGUCCCUGUCUCUUAUAU
rnacentral:rRNA from 1 species